AGGGACUUAGGAUAGCAUGUAGUCCAAGGGCCUUCAAAGUCCUAAGCGGGAGUGAAAAUCUCCCAGCCCCUG
rnacentral:tRNA from 1 species